AUUGAACGCUGGCGGAAUGCUUUACACAUGCAAGUCGAACGGCAGCACGGGGGCAACCCUGGUGGCGAGUGGCGAACGGGUGAGUAAUACAUCGGAACGUGCCCAGUCGUGGGGGAUAACGUAGCGAAAGCUACGCUAAUACCGCAUACGAUCUCUGGAUGAAAGCGGGGGACCGCAAGGCCUCGCGCGAUUGGAGCGGCCGAUGGCAGAUUAGGUAGUUGGUGGGGUAAAGGCUCACCAAGCCGACGAUCUGUAGCUGGUCUGAGAGGACGACCAGCCACACUGGGACUGAGACACGGCCCAGACUCCUACGGGAGGCAGCAGUGGGGAAUUUUGGACAAUGGGCGAAAGCCUGAUCCAGCCAUUCCGCGUGCAGGAUGAAGGCCCUCGGGUUGUAAAGCCCUUUAGGCGGGGAGGAACGGCGUCGUGCGAACAGUGCGGCGUUCUGACGUUACCCGCGGAAUAAGCACCGGCUAACUCCGUGCCAGCAGCCGCGGUAAU
rnacentral:rRNA from 1 species